UACGUAGGAGGCGAGCGUUGUCCGGAGUUACUGGGCGUAAAGGGUGCGCAGGCGGCCAUUGAAGUUUGCGGUGAAAUCUCCCGGCUUACCUGGGAGGGUGCCGUGAAAACUGGAUGGCUUGAGGCUCGGGGAGGGGCGUGGAAUUCCGGGUGGAGCGGUGAAAUGCGUAGAGAUCCGGAGGAACACCGACGGCGAAGGCAGUGUCCUGGGGAGUACCUGACGCUCAGGUGCGAAAGCCAGGGGAGCGAACGGG
rnacentral:rRNA from 1 species